AUGUCUAUCGUGUAACAUAAGCUGCCCGGCUGAAUGACUUCACAUCCCUGUUUGUAAAGGAUGGCACAACGCAAGAGGCCGCAGGGAAUUCGCUUAUGAGAAGUUUCCUCUUUUUUCUUCCUACAUAACCUUACUGCAACUUCAGAAUAUUACCGGAAUUGCUUCAGAAUCUCAUAAAGGGGGGCUACGAAGAGCCAGAUUCAGUACUGGUACAAUGAGAUCACCGGGUCUGAGUUUGGUGCAAAGCUUAGAAACUGCGUAUAGAAAGACAAGAAAAGAAUUGCAGCAUUCCUCUCUUUGUUCCCCUUUCAUACCAUACGGACAGACACGUCUCCCUUUCACACCCUCCGGACAGAAGUACGGUGUGCCACACACGCUGCCAGAUUCCAUUGGUAAUCACCCCUCUGUGCCAGAGGAAUUUUUCUCAAGUCACUAACUCUAAUCCCUUGUCUCCCAUUCUGGCAGAGACAAUUACACUUAUUAUUCAGCUUAUAAACUGAUUGAGCUACAUCUUACAGUUAAUUAAGCUGUUUUUCUUCUUAAUGACUGGUGGAAUGAAUGAACAAGGGAUGUAGCAGAGAAGCACAGGCAAGACUGUGUUGGGAAUCAUUUUGGAUAUAUGGAUGAAUGUUCCAGAAUAGUUUUGCACCUUUGUUGUCUCAUCUGAUCCGAAGAACUGCCACAGCCUGCUGCAGUCAUUGCCAAAGUAUCUCACUGGCUUCCUCAAUGAGACUGGGGAAAAGUUGGCAUGAAGUUAAUGAAGAGAUGAACUGGAAGUGGAUAUAUGAGAAGAGCAAGACAACUACAGUUUGCAGUGCGGAGUCUAGAAAGUGUGGCUGGGCUGGAGCUGACCCUGUUAGCCAGAAGAUCCUCGAAGUUCAGGGAAAUCUAAAGCCAGCUUUCAACUUUGUAGCCGGCAACUGAUUGCUAGGAAAGGCUCCUGAUCCUCAAACACCGAGGCUGUGAUCUUUCACUGCAUCCAAGUUGUCUGGAUCAAUUCUUGUUAUGAUCUAAAGAGAUGCACGUAUGGUGGUGUCUGUGCAUAGAUACGUCCAUGCGUACACACACACCUACAGCUACCACAGUUGUUCCAUUUUUCACCCCUGCUGCAGUCUGCAGGAUAUCUGAAACUUCGGGGACUGAAAAAAGAGAUACAAUCCCUUGCCACUCUCUAAAGGCUGUAUCAAAAUCUCUUGGGUUGAUAGGGUGUUGUUUGCUGCAAACG
ensembl:lncRNA